GCGCGGCCGACUCGGCGGCGGCGAGUAGUUAGUUACUUGUUAGUGUCAGUUGCUCGGUGGCGGCGGCCCUGGUCACCAGGAAGGGGACGGGACGGCCGGCAAUGGUGGUCACCACAGUGGCCUGUGCUCCUUUCAGACCCUCCAGCCUCUAGAUGAAGAGCCCUUGGAUUAGUGUAAUGGUGUGAGCAGAAGUCUCACUGCCGUGGCCUGGGGAGUGAAUGUGGUGAGGGGAAAGGCAGAGACUAAGGGGAGGACACCACAGGGAAAAGAAUAUUUGAGGUCCACUCCUAAGGAAAGAAAAGGAAGCAAUGACAUAAUGCCUAGAGUUGGAACCAGUUAAACUGGUAAACAUUGCUGUCUUCUGAAAAUAAGUUAAGGAAUGAGAGGCAAGGAAGAAAGUACAUUCAUCCUGGAAGGACCCAAAGCACUUUGAAACUGUAAACGAAUGUAAUGAUAGCUGCUAAAACCACCUUUGUCACCAUAAUGGAUGAAGAACUGCAAAUUUAAACGAUUGAUCAUACUUACAAGAGCUGCUAUGAUACAUAGGGGAGGUGAAAACUGAUGGAUGAAAGUUUUGCUAUGCACUGAAAGGAAAGCAUUGUCUGUGAAGGUCUUUUCUUAAAAAUGUCUGCUUGUAACACCUUUACUGAACACGUGUGGAAACCUGGUGAAUGCAAGAACUGCUUUAAGCCUAAAAGCUUACACCAGCUCCCCCCAGACCCUGAGAAGGCACCCGCCACCCAUGGCAAUGUGAAAACUAAUGCCAAUCACAGUAAUAACCACCGCAUGAGGAACACUGGGAAUUUCCGUCCUCCUGUGGCUAAAAAACCCACUAUAGCUGUGAAACCCACUAUGAUGGUGGCAGAUGGGCAGAGUGUAUGUGGUGAACUUAGUAUCCAAGAACACUGUGAGAACAAACCUGUCAUCAUAGGGUGGAACCGAAACAGGACGGCCUUGAAUCAGAAACCACUUAAUAAUAAUAAUGAAGAUGAUAUUGAAGGAUUUAGCCAUGUUCCUAAGCCCUAUGGCAAUAAUGAUAGUGCAAAGAAGAUACCAAAUAACAAUAAUGGUCUAACUGAUGUGUUAAAAGAGAUAGCAGGCUUGGAUACCACCCCUCAGAUGAGAGGAAAUGAAACAAACUCCAGAGAAACAUUCUUAGGAAGAAUAAAUGAUUGCUAUAAAAGAUCAUUGGAAAGAAAGCUUCCACCAAGUUGCAUGAUGGGUGGUAUAAAGGAUACUCAGGGCAAGCAUGUUAUUCUGAGUGGGAGCACAGAAGUGAUCAGUAAUGAAGGGGGCCGGUUCUGUUACCCAGAGUUUUCUAGUGGCGAGGAGAGUGAGGAAGAUGUACUUUUCAGUAACAUGGAGGAGGAGCAUGAGAGCUGGGAUGAGAGCGACGAAGAGCUGCUGGCCAUGGAGAUUCGCAUGAGAGGGCAGCCCCGCUUUGCUAACUUCAGGGCAAAUACUCUGUCUCCUGUUCGAUUCUUUGUGGACAAAAAAUGGAAUACUGUCCCCCUGCGAAAUAAGUCUCUGCAGAGAAUCUGUGCUGUAGACUAUGAUGACAGUUAUGAUGAAAUCCUAAAUGGUUAUGAAGAGAAUUCUGUGGUCUCCUGUGGACCAGGAAGCAUGCAGAGCAUGGUGUCAUCUGACUCUACAUCACCAGACUCUUCUUUAACAGAAGAGUCACGUUCUGAGACAGCCAGUGGUUUAUCCCAGAAGAUCUGUAAUGGAGGAGUAUCUCCUGGUAACCCGGGAAAUUCUAAGGACAUGAAGGAAAAUGAGCCCAAUUAUGAAAGUCUCUCUGGUAAUAAUCAGGAAAAGGACUCCUCACAAGCACCUAAAAGCUCAGUAAAAGUUCCAGAAACACACAAAGCAGUCCUUGCUCUCCGAUUAGAAGAGAAGGACGGCAAGAUUGCUGUACAGACUGAGAAGCAAGAAAGUAAAGCCUCUACCGAUAUUGCUGGGCAAGCAGUAACCAUUAACCUUGUCCCCGUAGAAGAGCAAGCAAAGCCCUACCGAGUUGUGAAUCUGGAACAGCCACUGUGCAAGCCAUAUACUAUCGUGGACGUGUCGGCAGCCAUGGCCACUGAGCACCUCGAGGGCCCUAUUACCAGCCCCAAGACAAAAAUCUCCUCUUCUACUCCAAACUCUCCGAUGACAUCACCUGCAUCGACGUCAGGACAAAUAAGUGCCCACUUCCAAAAAUCCAGUGCAAUACGAUACCAGGAAGUAUGGACUUCCAGUACCAGUCCACGACAAAAGAUACCCAAGGUGGAAUUAAUUGGUGGUGGAACUGGACCAAAUGUCCCUCCAAGGAAAAACUGUCACAAGUCAGCACCUACUUCACCGACAACUACAAACAUUUCCUCUAAAACCAUCCCUGUUAAGUCACCCAAUUUGUCUGAAAUAAAAUUUAAUAGUUAUAACAAUGCUGGUAUGCCACCUUUUCCAAUCAUCAUUCACGACGAGCCAACCUAUGCUCGGAGUUCUAAAAAUGCCAUCAAAGUUCCCAUUGUAAUCAACCCAAAUGCAUAUGACAAUCUAGCCAUUUAUAAAAGUUUUCUUGGAACAAGUGGAGAACUCUCAGUGAAGGGAAAAACCACAAGUGUAAUAAGCCAUACUUAUGAAGAAAUAGAAACUGAAAAACUGUCCGAUAACACCACUAGCAAACCUACUGAGUGCCCCCAAGCCAAAGGGCUUUCAAGUAGCACAGAGCGUAAAAGGGGCUCAGUGGCUCAAAAGGUUCAGGAGUUUAACAGCUGUCUGAACAGAGGUCAGUCUUCACCACAGAAAAGUUAUAGUUCUGGCCACAGCUCCCCAACAAAGAUCCAGAGAACCACUCAAGAACCUGUGGCCCAAAUAGAAGGCACUCAGGAGUCUCAGACGGUCAGCAGCAGCAGCAGCACCAGCACCAGAGAGAAAGCAAGCACAGUGCUUUCUCAGAUUGUGGCUUCUAUCCAACCACCACAGUCUCCUCCAGAAAUGCCCCAGUCUGGCCCUAAAGCAUGCAGUGUGGAAGAGCUCUAUGCAGUCCCUCCAGAUGCUGACGCUGCUAAGAGUACACCAGUCCGACCCAAGUCUCUCUUUACGUCUCAGCCCAGUGGGGAGGCUGAAGCCCCUCAGACCACAGAAAGUCCCACUGCCAGAGUGCGGAAAGAUCCACUCGCAAAGCCAGUCACUGCCCCUCUCUCCAAGUUAGUGGCUAACUCCCAGGGUGAGCCACCCCCUCCCUUCCCCCCACCUCGUUCUACUUCCUCCCCUUACCAUGCGGGCAACCUUUUGCAGAGGCAUUUCACCAACUGGACCAAGCCAACCAGUCCUACCAGGUCAACGGAAGCUGAAUCAGUUUUGCACUCUGAAGGCAGCAGGCGGGCAGCUGAUGCAAAACCUAAACGCUGGAUAUCAUUUAAAAGCUUCUUCCGCCGCCGGAAAACAGACGAGGAGGAUGACAAAGAGAAAGACCGAGAGAAAGGGAAACUGGUGGGCCUGGAUGGCACAGUCAUCCACAUGCUGCCGCCUCCUCCAGUUCAGCGCCAUCACUGGUUCACAGAGGCAAAAGGACAGUCCAGUGAGAAGCCAGCCAUUGUCUUUAUGUACAGGUGCGAUCCUGCCCAAAGCCAGCUCAGCGUGGAUCAGAAGGCCAGAGCAGACCAGUCAGCACUUGAAGAAAAAGAUGGGACAGAGGAUGGGUUACUACAGGACUCAGAGAAGAAGAAAAGGAGUCAUUCUUCUCCGUCACAGAUCCCUAAAAAAAUUCUCAGUCACAAAACCCAUGAAGUGACAGAGGAUUUUUCUCCUCGGGAUCCAAGAUCUGUUGUUGUGAGGGAAGAUGAUGGAGGCUGUGCUUCUGUCCCAGCAGCAUUGCCCCUACCUGAACUGGAAAGGGAAGAGGAAAAAGAAGAUGUUUCAGAUACUCUUGACAUGAAUCCCUGUAGUGCAACCUAUAGCAACUUAGGGCAAUCUAGAGCAGCCAUGAUACCACCCAAGCAUCCACGGCAGCCUAAGGGAACUUUGGAUGAUGCUGUUGUCUUUAGUGGGAAAACAGAUGAAGAAACACCUAAUGCUUCCCAACCUACACCACCCCCACUGCCAAAGAAAACGAUCAUAAGAGCCAAUACAGAACCAAUCCCCAAAGAUCUCCAAAAAUCCAUGGAAACAAGUCUUUGUGUAAUGGCUAAUCCCACCUAUGAUAUCGACCCCAACUGGGAUGCCAGUAGUGCUGGCUCUUCCAUCAGUUAUGAACUCAAGGGACUGGACAUUGAGUCUUAUGACUCCUUGGAAAGACCUUUGCUCAAGGAGAGACCUGUCCCCUCAGCAGCAAACAGUAUCUCCAGCUUAACCACUCUCAGUAUUAAGGAUAGAUUUUCCAACAGCAUGGAGUCCCUAUCCAGCCGGCGUGGUCCCUCUUGCAGACAGGGCCGAGGCAUACAGAAGCCACAGAGACAAGCACUUUAUAGAGGACUUGAGAAUCGGGAAGAAGUGGUGGGUAAAAUCCGAAGCCUUCAUACAGAUGCCUUGAAAAAACUGGCUAUUAAAUGUGAAGACCUCUUCAUGGCUGGACAGAAAGAUCAGCUCCGUUUUGGGGUGGACAGCUGGUCAGACUUCAGGCUAACUAGUGACAAACCGUGUUGUGAGGCAGGUGAUGCAGUUUACUACACAGCUUCAUAUGCAAAAGAUCCACUUAACAACUAUGCAGUCAAGAUCUGUAAGAGCAAAGCUAAAGAAUCUCAGCAGUAUUAUCACAGCUUGGCUGUCCGGCAGAGUCUGGCUAUCCAUUUCAACAUCCAACAGGACUGUGGGCAUUUCCUUGCUGAAGUCCCUAAUCGUCUGCUUCCCUGGGAGGAUCCUGAUGCCCCUGAAGAGGAAGAGGAUGAAAUGAAAGAGGCUGAAGAAGAGGUAAAAGGAGAAACUGAUGGGAAAAGCCCAGAGCCCUGCUCUGAAACAGAGUCAUCCCAGAAAGAAAGCCAGGGGGUCAUUAGCAGGAAGCAGAGAAGCCACGUUGUGGUCAUCACCAGAGAGGUUCCCUAUCUCACCGUGGCUGAUUUUGUGCGAGACUCUCUGGCCCAGCACGGGAAAAGCCCUGAUUUAUAUGAGAGACAAGUGUGUCUGCUACUCUUACAGCUGUGCUCUGGCCUUGAGCACCUCAAACCCUACCAUGUCACUCACUGCGAUCUUCGUCUGGAGAACCUGCUGCUUGUCCACUACCAGCCAGGGAGAACCACCCAGGGCCUUGGGCCUACAGAGUCCAGCCCCACCUCGUCUUGCCCCACAAGGCUCAUAGUGAGCAAUUUCUCUCAGGCCAAGCAGAAGAGCCAUCUGGUGGACCCUGAGAUCCUCCGGGACCAGUCCCGCCUUGCUCCAGAGAUCAUAACAGCCACCCAGUAUAAAAAGUGUGAUGAGUUCCAGACAGGCAUCCUCAUCUAUGAGAUGCUGCACCUGCCCAACCCCUUUGAUGAGAACCCAGAGCUGAAGGAGAAAGAAUACACUCGAGCAGACCUGCCUCGCAUCCCACUCCGCUCCCCCUAUUCCCGGGGCCUACAGCAGCUGGCCAGCUGCCUUCUCAAUCCCAACCCUUCUGAGCGGAUCCUCAUUUCAGACGCCAAAGGCAUCCUCCAGUGUCUACUCUGGGGCCCCCGGGAGGAUCUCUUCCAGACUUUCAUGGCCUCUCCUAGCCCAGCGCAGAGGAGCGCCCUUCUCCAAAACUGGCUAGACAUCAAGCGAACACUGCUGAUGAUCAAGUUUGCUGAGAAGUCCCUGGACAGGGAGGGUGGGGUCAGCCUUGAGGACUGGCUUUGUGCUCAGUAUUUGGCCUUUGCCACUCCAGACUCCCUCGGCUGCAUUGUGAAAACCCUGCAGCACCGCUAGUGUGUCCUGGUUGCUGCUUGUCUUUUGUGUUCACCUUCACGUCGCCCAUGCACUUCCCCUUCCUAGUACUCACACAGAAUUCAAGGAAAGAAGAGAGACCGACCUUCCAUCCCUCUCCAGGAAAAAUGAGUCUGCUCAGAAAGCUUACCCACAGUUCCAGAUCCAGUCAGAAGCUGGGUCUGUCUUCACUGCACAGAAAUUCGAUUGGACAGCCGUGCAGUCGCCUUCCAUUGGAACACCUUUCACCCUAAUUGUCCCCAAAUGCAGUCUGUACUACAGAUUCUUCCAUUUAUAUUGAGAGUUUGAACAAUUAAGCCAUCAUUGGGACUUUACCUUAAGCCGCAUUGAGCAAGAACAAUUUCUCUGACACAUUUUGGUGCUAGAGAAACAGGGAAAUGGGGGGAGUAGCAAAGACCAAGACUGAAUGUAUAGCAGAGUGCCUUGUUAGAGUGACAACCUAGUCUUGGAAAGAAGAGAAUCCCAUGUCCUGCGGAGAGGACUAGGACUACGUGACUUCUCCCACGCCGGCCUGAGGAAGAGCCCCUUUGAUAAAUGUACACCGACGUGAUGCUCAGAAGCUAAUUUGUGGAGAAUAACUGCAGGAUGGGACAAAGAGCAGUUGCAACCUAUGGAGUCAACGAAAGAAUCCCUAGACGAAGUUAGAAUUGGAGGCCAGGACUAUAGCAGUCGGCUCCAAGCUUUGCCCUCUGGAGAUGAACUGGGUAAAGGUAGACAGGGCCCAAGCACCCAUGCUACUGAUGUUGGGGCCUAACAUAUGCUUGUUAGGAUUUGAAGAGGCUGAGUAGCCUUCCAUUGUCAGAUUAAGUGGAGGCCAGUUUUGCUUCCAGACUCGGAAGAAGUUUGUUACCAUGGGAAACUGUUAAGCCAAGAGAUCUAAACCUCUAGAAAUAUUAAUGAUAUUUCUGGAAGUAAAACUGUAUUUUAAAGUUUCUAGCAUUAUAAGUUUUCAUGAAGGAUCUUUGGGGCCUACUACAUAGUAGGGCAUGGAAAGAUUGCACUCAGCUUCCCAAAUUUGAAUUAAAAAUACUUUGAUGCUGGGAAGUAACCUGACCUGGUUUUGCUGGUAACCUGCAAAUAAGAUUUUUCCCUAGAUUAUACAGACAGUGAUCUGAAAAAAAUACAGACCAGUCCCAGAAGUCGGGAUGUACUUAGGAUACUGCCCUAUAUUCCAAAUGAUUCUAGAUGUUAGAAUAAAGUACAAACAUACUUGAAGACGAAGGAGAGAGCAACUUGGCUCUCCAGGCCAACUCUGACAUGUUUUUUAUUUCCCUCGCUAGUUGAUAAGGAUUGAAAAUUCUGGUCCAGCCUAAUGAGUGAACAGGAUGGCUGCCCACAAAACCAGGUUAUUAGUUUUACCUCAUUGAAGCUCAUAUUCUCAGAGGCCCAAAGUGCUGUGCCGAGACAAAUCCAAGUGCUGCUCUUGCUGAAGUGUGCACUGAAGUCCAGCUGCCCGUGCUUACGGCAGUGCCCAAAGUCGGGGUUCCAUGGACCAAAACUGAUGCCACAAGGGAAGCCAGAGGAGCUACAGUGCAAGAUCCUAGAUAGAGAUUAUACCAAAGAAAUCAAGCCUUUUUGUCCUGAUGCUUGAGUUAUGACAGAUGCCAGAGAAGAAGAACUCACAUACAUUCCAUGUCAAGGUAUUUGGCUGAUAAAAUAAUCCAUCCUCCAAACAAAGCACCUAUCUUUUUAAAAUAAGUCCAUUUUGUAUAUUAGGAAAAAAAGAAAAGAUGAUGGUGAUGGUGAAAGUCUGGGACAGACAGUGAUAUUUCCCAGUAAUUAAGGAGAAGGAGCCAGCCCCCGCUCUCCCUGUGAUGUGACUGUGGCCGUUGCCCGGACUUCGGUUUGGGAACUUCAUCAUGUCCGUGUGAUUCGGAAAGCUGAGCAAUCUUUUCUAAGAGAUGUGGUAGUUUCAACAGCUUUGUUUAAAGAGCUCCUGGGAGAUUUCUUAACAAAUUCUCGUAGUUUUUAUAAACCUUCCUACAGAGGUGGUUACCACUCAUCACCAUCAUUUAAUAUUUAUAAGUGCCCAGAAUGUACAAGGUGCUAUACAGCUGUUACACAUCCCCUCUCUGCAGCUGUUUGAAAUUAGAGUAGGUUUUUGCAUCAGCCACUGCUACAAGCUUCCCCACCUAAGUGGGCUACAGGGGCCUGCGUUCUGGACAUCCCAUUACGUUUCCUACUCCAGAGAGCCUCUGGGCUCCUUCCAGCUUCUCACCUUCACCCAUCCCACUCACCCUCAUGCUUUUUUUUUAAUCCAGAAAGUUUCAGGGAAUCAAAAGAGGUUGGAAAUUUUUUAACCUAGCAGAAGUACAGAGUCCUAUAUUUUGCUACAAUUAUUAUCGUAUUAUGGAAAAUCCACUUUGCCCGUAUAGUGUGUGGAAAGUAUCUGUGUGUCUGCACUCAUGAUAACUUGAAUGUUGAACAGCCCUAUGGCUUCAGGGUAGCAUUUUUGAAAGAUAAACCACACUGCUUCAGGAAACCUGCUCCAAGUACUACUUGGUUAUCCGUUCCCUCACCAGUUUGAAAGUUAUGCGUGAACAUACUGGGUUGGGAUUUUCUGUUGAUAUGCAGGGCAUUUGGGCAUGAGAUCAGGGCAGAAGCAAGAUGUCCUCCUUCUCAGCAUUUGAAUCAUGGCAGUCUUCAUUCCAGUCUCACCUUAGUUCCCCAUGGCUCUGCCCACACUCUGUAUUUGAAAAUCUUGUUCUCUUGCUCUUUCCUGGAGCUUUAACCCUCUGCACAUUUUAGAGUUGUAUAAAUCUACCAACGCAAGGUUCCCUCUGUCACCAGGUGGUGCCGCCCUUUGGUUUGCUGUGGUACUUUGCUGUGUUCUCUGUGGCAUCAUGUUACUGUGUAAAUAAAUUUGUUUUAAUAUACACUAAA